CGCAUCACUGGUGUUCGGGUUGUCAUGCCAAUGGCACUGCCCGGUAGCUAAAUGCGGAAGAGAUAAGUGCUGAAAGCAUCUAAGCACGAAACUUGCCCCGAGAUGAGUUCUCCCUGAGACUUAGAGUCUCCUGAAGGAACGUUGAAGACGACGACGUUGAUAGGCCGGGUGUGUAAGCGCAGCGAUGCGUUGAGCUAACCGGUACUAAUGAACCGUGAGGCUUAACCUUACAACGCCGAAG
rnacentral:rRNA from 3 species